GACAGAGGCCUCAAGCGUUAGGCGGAAUUACUGGGCGUAAAGCGCACGCAGGCGGUUCGCCAAGUUUGGAGUGACAGUUGUCGGCUCAACCGACAAAGGACUUCAAAAACUGGUGAACUUGAGGACGAGAGAGGAACAUGGAACUCCAGGUGUAGUAGUGAAAUGCGUAGAUACCUGGAAGAACACCAAUGGCGAAGGCAAUGUUCUGGCUCGUUUCUGACGCUCAGGUGCGAAAGCCAGGGGAGCGAACGGG
rnacentral:rRNA from 1 species